AAUUAGGUCAUACUUUCCCACUUGUGCCAUGGUUUCUAGCUCCUCCUGUUUAUUUACCAUGCUGCACGCAUUGGUAUAGAGGCACUUCAGCUUGGCUAUUGGCCUCGUUGCCUUCUCAGAGGAGCCCUCCCUAAUACCUCCAGGACAAGUCUGGGGUUUUUCCCUUCCACCUCCCAAGGUGACACCCUUCCCAUGUGCUUCUCUGUUAUCCAGUACACUCCCUUCCCCCAUCAUACCUAGUUUAAAGCCCUGCUAACCAGCCCAGCCAGCUUGCUCCCUAGAAUAUUUGUGGGCCUUCUACUCAGUUGGUUCCCAUCCACUGUCAGCAUUCCCCCUUUCUCAAGACUGCAUCCCAAGCCAUAGUACCCAAAGCCCUGAGUACGACACCAUUUGCAAAGCCAUUUCUUCAGCAUGUCUGCCCUCCUCUUUUUUUCCAGAUCCCAGUCACCAACUGAGGGGACAGAGGAGAAUACAGCUUGUGCUCCCGAUCCCUUCAGCAGUUUUCCCAGAGCCUGAAGUCCCUUUUGGUCACCCAAGAACUUCUUUUGCUUACCUCUUAAUUACCAUUACGGAAAACUAGUAACGACUAAUAAUCAGAGGGCUUGAUCAGGCGAAUGGUGUUCCUGGCAACAUCUCUCACCCGGGCUCCAGGCAGGCAACACACCUCCCUGUGGGGCAGGUCCAAGCCCUCAGAUCCCCUCAGAAGGGAGUCCCCUGUGGUGACAACCCUUUUUUUCCUGACUGACGUUGUUCUUCCUGACUAGCCCUGGACAACUUCUCCUGCACAGAUGGACUUUCACCAACAUCCACAUCCCCCAGUCCUUGCAGCUCCAGAGCCUCAUACGUGUUAUGUAAGGGUACCUGGGAAGGUGGGACAGGCUGAGGGGCAGCCUGCUUGCAGCCGUGAACAGGAACUCAUUUCCAUCCCUUGCUGUCUUUGAGGUCACCCCCUCCCACCUGGCAGUGAGAGGGUAGAUGAGCCCCUGCUGCCUGAAGAGCAUCUCCCCCACACCCUUCCUGUAGGGAUGGUAGAGUGCGACUCCACCAAUCAAUCCCCUUCCCACAAUCCCAGGUGCUCCACCAGCCUUUCCACCACUUGUUAUGCUUUCACUCUUUAUGACAAACUACAGCAAAAUCAUUUCCUAUAGUUCAAUCCAACAGCAGAAUUAAUUAAGAAUGUUUGUUUCUUUCCCAGGAGACAAAGAAGGAGAUACAUUUCUUCUCUGAUUUAUUCUUAUUUAAAAACAAUAUGACAAAGCUCUUCAGUACUUAUCUUAAAUAAUGCUGUAUGAGAUUACAAGAGAUGCAAACAGAAUAACACUGCCUUUAUCUCAUGACAAAAUAUCAGAUUCUCAUUAUUCUUCCAGAGAGUUAUGUAAUUUCUUGAUUUUAGUUUGGCUAUCUAUUUCUUGAGCUAGAGUAAGUCAAAUCUGAAAAAUAUGAGUGUAACCAAAAUAGACCAUAGAAUCACAGAAUCACAGAAUACCAUGAGCUCGAAGAGACCCAUGGGGAUGAUCAAGGCCAGCUCCUGGCCACACACAGGGCCACCCUAAAUCCAAACCCAAUGUCUGAAAGUAUUUUCUAAAUGCUCUUUGAACCCCAGCUGUGACCACAGCCCUGAGAAUACUGUUCCAGGGUCCUGCCACUCUCCGAUGAAGAAACUUUUCCUAACAUCCAAUCCCUUUCUAGGAUAGCCAGCAGCUUCAGAGGGCUGACAAAGGGUGACUACUUUUCUCUGCAGUCUGUGAGCUCACUGGAAAACAGAUUAGGUUACUGAGUAUUCAGCACCUGACACACUGAUAUAGUUUGCUGAAAACUAGUGUAGCAUGCAUACCAACAUGUAUUGUGUGAAGCAGUUCAAUGAUCUAGUGUAUUUGUUAAGCUUCUGCUAUCAUAUGAAAUAAAAUUUGAUUAUUUUAAGCU
ensembl:lncRNA